rnacentral:ncRNA from 1 species
AUAAAGAAAUAGUUGAAUAAAUUGCACAGACAGAAUUUCCCCAUAUUUAUUUGGUGGAAUUUUCUCAAAGUAUUAUGGAGAGAGACAUGAAAAAUCCAGAGCAGACUAUAAUAUGAUGAAUUUUUUUAGUAAAGAAAACAAUGAUAGUAGCAGGAUGGCGGCCAUGAAAGCCAGAAUCCACUAAGGCGUGUUAAACAACUCAUCUGCCAGAUCAGCUAGCUCUGAAAAUAGAUGGCAUUGCAGCAUUUGGCCUAUACCCAGCCAUUGCUGGUAGUUGGUGACAAGCAAGAGGGAUGGGUAUAGGAAGGGCCUUUCCUAAUUCUCAACCCCUGGACGUUACGCCCUAUAAGCAGGGCUGCUGCUGGGGUGAAACUUGAAGCCUAGGCAUGGAUCUGGGUUGAGCCCCGCAGGUGCAGAUCUUGGUGGUAGUAGAAAAUAUUCAAACCAGCACUUUGAAGGCAGGCUAACAUGGAGACGGUUCCCUGUGAACAACAGCUGAAUAUGGGUUGGUAGGUCCUGAAAGAUGGGAGAAUGCCAUUCUAAAGGGAGGGUGAUGGCCUCUGUUGCCCUCAGCUGAUAGAAACUAUUCAGAUUUAGAUCGCCAAAUCAAGAUUUGGGGAGAUGAGUGCUGCCAGGCCAACUUGAGGUGAUUUGGUUAUUUAGAAGAUUCCUGUUUAAUUUUCAAAUAUUCAGGAAUUCUUCAGCCACCUCUUUGU